ACGGUCCAAUCUCCACUCAAUGC
rnacentral:siRNA from 1 species